AUAAAGAAUAAACGUUCGCCAUUGUGAACGAAGCAUGGGUGACACUGACACUACAAAUCAUCUUCUGAUACGUUGUCCGGUUUAUAAAAAUCUUUAUUACUUUAAUAUGUCUUUUUGUAAUUCCAUGGUAAUUCCUUGGGCAUUAACACUCUAAUCAACAAAGAAACCGCCUUUUCCACAUUAAUUUACCAAUUUUUUCAUACUCGGAAAUUUAGUGGAUUAUAGAAAACAUCUUGCCAUUCAUACCCAAGUCCCAAGUCUCAACACGAAUGCCUUUGUCUUACCUGAUCGUGUUAACAUGUUAAUUCGUUCUUGCCACUGGCCGAAGUCUUUUUGUCAAAUUUUGCAUCUUUCCUAAAUUUAAUUUAAUCACACACAAGCAUUCUCGCAUGUGCCAGGCAACGGGUUACAGAUAUGGCAUGGUUCCCUUUUGGUGUUAAGCCUGGCCUACACCAUCGGUUAUUGAAAAUGUGUUGGAACAAGUAAUUACAUGAUGGAGCUGGAGCAUGAAUUUGGGACUUGAUUUUUCAUCUGUUGGUUGAGGUGGAAAAACAGUGAUUGGACCCACCAUUUGAUUUCCACAUUUAUCAUUGGAAUUCUGGGAUGGUAGCUGUUGUUGCAGGACACUCUCCUUGGUUCAUUAGUGAGGUUCCAGAAUGCAGCAUUCCACAAGCAAGAAAUAUUAUUUGCCGACCGUCAACACAUUACAGAUUCUUUAACUUUGAUUUUGUUGCCUUGAUGGUGAAAUUGAAUUAUAUUGAAAUUUAAAAGUU